CCAAGGAUGAAUACGCGGAUGCAACAUGGAUGAACCGAAGAUGAUGAUAUCGCUAAGAAUGGACGAACGUAUAAUGGAUGAUAUGGGCGAGUCUUGUAGUUGGUGUGAGUGAGAGAGCGAGAGAGUGUGUGAGGGUGUGUGUUUGUGUGUGUGUUGGGUUGGGGAGAAGGACCCCACCUCGGCAGACGAGGAGGAAGAUGAAGCCUCCAUCGCAAAAGAGCAUCAUCAUCGCAUCAUCGCAUCAGAUCGCAGCGCUGCUUUGCGAGAGACGGCGACCCAGCGGAGCGAUCCGACCCUCACCUCCCUUAUUGUCUUCUUCUUCUUCUUCAUGUGAAGCCAGCUCCCUCUGCCUGCCUGCCUGCCUGCCUGCCUCACCCCAAUUCGCAACAAAACAAACACCACCCUAUGCCACACACACCCAAUGCCAUCCCUCCCUCGCUGCAGGUCAGACUGCUGGCGCAUUCCAUCCCCUCAUCUCGCAUGAUAUUCUGUCUGCACCGCGUCUUUCCAGGCGUUUUGUUCGCGGAGGCAUUCCGUUUGUGGAACUCUGUCAGCGGAUCUGGUUCUCUUGAGUGGAAGAAGAGGGAGAGGAGGUAGCUUUUUUCGCUGGUUGAGAUUCUCGUGUCUUAGAGACUGGGAACUGGAGCUCAACCAUGGCGUCAAACGUAUGGCACAAUUUGAUGUCCCUGAGGUUUGCAGGGUUUAUGUUAUGCCUUGGGGCAGGGGCGGAGUGGUUCUUGCAAGUGAAGGAGGCUAUGAAGGUGCUAACGAGGGUGUGUAAUCCCAUGAGGAAAAGUGAGAAGAGAUCUCCACCCGUCACUCAUAAGAUCAAAAUGGCCAGUAUUCGCAUGUCCAUGGAUGAGGUAGCGAAGACAUACAAAAUCACUCCGGUUCGUAGGCUGUAAUUAACAUGUAUGCAGCCAUUCUUGCACCUCAUCUUCCUCAAGUGCCCGUGUAUAGUAGUAGCUGCAGGACUGGACUAGCUUGCCAAAAGGGCUCUCUUUUCUGUACAACCCAAAGAGUUGGGCUUAAUCAGUGAUCCAGAGUGGGUGCUAACAUUCACCAGAUCUAUAUUUUCCCGUUUAUAUUGUGACCCAAAAACAUUGCCGAGUCAGGGAAGGCUGUGAAUUCUAACCUUCUGCAUUCGCAUGGGGUUUGGAUCGAUGACUCGAUCUUGGUUUUUUGUGUCCUAAGCCCUGCAAUGAAUUGAACUUCUGCUUUAGCUCGUAGCAAAUUCCAA